rnacentral:misc_RNA from 1 species
AAAAUAAUCCUACCCUUUGUGAAUUUUGUUUGUUUGAAUAAUUUUUUUUUUUUAAAAAAUUAUUGGAGUCUUUCCCUUUAGAGUUUGCUUUUGAGUUUGUAAAAGAAUUCGAAAACAUCUAAAGGGGAUGGUCAAUAAUUUUUUUUGAAAAAAGACAUUUUUUAAAAUUAAACUUUUUGUAUUCAUUUGUCUAAAAAUUAUUUUUAUAAUAUAAAAACAACUUUUGACAAUGGAUCUCUUGGUUCUCGCAACGAUGAAGAACGCAGCAAAAUGCGAUAAGUAGUGUGAAUUGCAGAAUACGUGAAUCAUCGAAUCUUUGUACGCAUAUUGCACUUUUUUAGUUUACUAAAAAAGUAUGUCUGUUUGAGUAUCAGUAAAAUAUUCUCAUAAAAAUCAUUGUAUUUUUAUGGUUAUGAGUGUUUUACAACGAUACAAGUUGUUUCACUUUAAAUUUUUUUUUAAUAUUGAAAUUUUUCUAAUUUUAAUAAUUAAAAUUGGAUAAAAUUUUCCCGUCAAAAGGAAUAACCUAAACAAUUUUAAAUGAUUAAUUUUAGCAAAAUUUUCGUAAAAAAGGAAAAUUUUUAUUAAAAUAACUUGAUCUCAAAUCAGAUAAGAGUACCCGCUGAACUUAAGCAUAUCAAUAAGCGGAGGAAAAGAAACUAACAAGGAUUCCCUUAGUAACGGCGAGUGAAGCGGAAGAGCUCAAAUUUGAAAUCUUCAAGGUUUUACCUUGACGAAUUGUAGUUUAAAGAAGUGUUUUCUGCUGAAGUUUUGGUAAGAGUUCUUUGGAAUAGGACAUCAUAGAGGGUGAGAAUCCCGUAUUUGACCAUUAUUUUCAGCUUUGUGAUACACUUUCAAAGAGUCGGAUUGUUUGGGUAUGCAGUCCAAAAUGGGUGGUAAAUUUCAUCUAAAGCUAAAUAUUGGCGAGAGACCGAUAGCGAACAAGUACCGUGAGGGAAAGAUGAAAAGAACUUUGAAAAGAGAGUUAAACAGUACGUGAAAUUGUCAAAAGGGAAGCGUUUGACACCAGUGUUGUUUUCUCGAAAAUCAAUUAAAAAUGGCUCGAUUUUGUAUUGCUGAGACCUUAAAAGCUCACUGUACAUUUUUCGUGUCUUUUUUAAUGCACUUUUCGUUUAACAAGUCAACAUCAGUUUCUUUUGUUGUAAAAGGGUCAUUGGAAGGUGGCUUUCUUUUCGGAGAAGUGUUUAUAGCCUUUGGCCUCUGCAAUCGGAGAGACUGAGGUCUGCAGCGUAGACUCUUCGGGGUUAGAUACAUUUGUGCUAAGUUAUAGCUUUUUAUAGACAACUUGUUGACUAUAAUUAGUCUUGUAGCUUACUCGCUUAUGCUAUUU